CUCUGGUAACUCCUCAUUUCCUUAUUAUAAAGCGACUUCCCAGAAACCACAAGAUUUCUUCAUUCAGCCUCGGUUUCCCCAUCUGUACUCAUUAGGAAGAGUACACCUACCAGGACUCGAGACACCAUACAGAGCAGAAUAAAAAUGGCCAAGGAAGUGGAGACAGAGCAAAGAAGAGGAAGGCAGACUGACAGACUAUUUCAGAACUGAUUAAAAUAAACAAAACCAAAGAUACCCGUGGAAGGAAGUGGAGUGUUGCCGUUAAAAGAGCAAGCAAAACAAAUGUUGCUCUCAACUGCUGUAUGUGGCGACUGAUCUCCCAUAAUCCAGAGUGAGAUAGCUAUAUGUCCGGAGAAUAAGAGCUAAGGGAACUCACAGUCCCCUGCCUCUCUAAAGAUACUUGGGGGUUCAACCUCGGGAAGAAUGGAGAACACCCAGGAGGGUGGUGUGGUGACCAGCAGGAAGUGGGGUAGUCUAAGCCAGCCCUGGACAGAGAACGACAAUCAAACUGUCGAAUUUAAUCUACAACCAACAAUACGAGACACUGUGCACUGCUGCGGUGGGUCAUCUUGCUGGGGAUGGUAAGCUGACAGCUCCAUGUCUGUCUUGUUCAUGAGAAGACAUCGUGUCUGUGGAGUUUUAGAUUUGCUAUCCUAAUUGGAGACGUCAAGCAAAUUAGAGAAAGCUAAACAUGAUACAGAAAGCAGAAAGACAAAAACAAGAUUCCAAAGAAGAAUGUAGGGUUAAAAUGCAAGUAAUUUCAGUGUAUAAAUUUACAGGAUAGAAGAUUUCCAGAUGGGAAACCAAAUCAAAUUAUAUGUCCUUUGCAUGAGAUUUGCCUAAAGCCUAGUAUGCAGAGAUGCUCAGGUAAUUAAUUGAAAAAUGGAUACCAGGCAAAGAACAACCACAGGAUAUUGGGCACAGCAAUAUUAAUACCAGAGAAAAAAGCCAAAAGGCAAAACCACAAUCACAGAUGAAGAGGGCCAUUAUGUCUUGAUUUAAGUUUAAAUUUCCCAGGAGGUUAUAAAAAGUCCAAAUAUUUAUGGAUGUAAUAAAAUAGCCAAAGAACAUUUUAAAAAGUGACAGAAUAUAUGGAGAUAUAGGCAAAUCAAUUAAUAGAUUGGAUCUAUUCAUAUAACUUGGUCAGAGAUUGAUAAAUCAGAUAAGGAAUAUUUAAUACAGAGGGAAAUAUUUGAGCCAUACAAUUAACAAGUCAGCCUUCACCGGCAUUCAAGGAAAAGGCAAUAAUUUCAGAAUCAUUAUUUUUAUUGCCACAAAGACAAUUUACAUAAAUAUCAUGCUGGUGUCACAAAGUAAGUGUAAGAGAUUUUUAAAGAAUUAGACGAGAAUGGGUCACAUUCUCUGAUUAUAAAGUGCUUGUUAUACAUCAAUAAGAGGAAGACGAAAAGUGUUAGCACUAUGCACCCUUAAAAAGGAUUGCAUUCCAAAAGUUUUCAAGCUUUUGACUCAGAUGUCAAUCAGGAGACCUCUUGUCACUUGUGGACAAGCCUGAUUCCCUGAACUCAACCCUGGGAAUCCACGUAGAGGUGGAAAGAGAGAACUAGCUCUACCAAGUUCUCCUCUGCGUGCACUCGUCCCCUGCCCAUAAUAAUAAAUAAAAAAUUUAAAAAUGUAAAGGAAAACAAAUUAAACAAUAAUGAAAAUGGCAUCUAUCAAGAUACACAAGAGCGUGUGCACAUGGGGCGUCACAUGGAGAGGGCUAGGAAGCCAGCAAGAUCCAGGAGCUAGGGCACUCGUCUACAAUGGCUCACUUUCAAGAGCGCUAACCAGUACCUUCUGAGGGCAUCCCUCUAAUGACCUACCUACCUUCUGUGAGACUCCAUCCUCCAAAGGAUCUACCAUGUAACAGUGUGGGCACACUGGAAGCCAAUCCUGCCCUCCUAGGAUAAGCCUCCAGCAUAGUAUAAACAAAUGAACACAGGAUAUAAGGAAAGAGUAGAGCCCUAAGAGGGGCAGUUGGAGAGACAGAGCAGCUGUGUAUGCCUGUGCCCUCAUUUCAUCCAUUGCUGCAGGGCAGUCACAGAGGUAGGGGCCUGAGACAGACGGUCGCACCACAUCCACAGUCAAGAGCAGAAAGAAAAUAAUGAACCAUGCUGUCUGCUUGUUUUUUCCACUGACCUUCUUUGUCUUUCACCAUUCAGGGCCCUGCCUAGGGGAUGAUGCCUCCCACAGUGGGCGGGGUCAGUUAACAAUGAGGAUAAUCCGCCAUAGACAGGCCAGCCUGAUUCAGAUAAUUCUUUCAUUGAGACUCACACUGAAAAGCACUGCUCUGUGUGUUAAGCUUGCCUGAGGUUUUGCAUAUUCAAAGAAGCUAUAUUUGGGCCUGGAGAGAUGACUCAGAGAUUUAGGAUAGUGACUGCUCUUCCAGAGGACCCGGGUUCAGUUCUUAGCAUUCACACCGGGGCUCGCAAGUGUCUGGAAUUGGGAUUCACUGGGAUCUGAUGCUCUCAUCUGGCCUCUGAGGCCAUGAGGCUAGCAUUGCAGACACACAUGCAAGAAAAAUACCCGUACAUAUAAAAUAAUUGAAAGAAAUGUUUAACAGGAAGAUAUAUCUGAGAGCAUUACACAUCAGUUGAGAAGUUCUUGUUGCUGUGAGAAAGCAUUCCAACCAGAACCAAGCUAGGGGAUGAGAAGGUUUAUUUGGCCAACAGUACAGGGUUAUAGUCCAUCACUGUGGGGCAAGAUACCGGCAGGCUACCGUCACAACACAUCCACACUCAAGACGGCAAGGGACGGAUGCACCCACGAUGCCUGAUGGUUGCCUCCUUCUGCUCAGCUAGCCUUUUCCUUUCUCAUAUAGUUCAGGACCAUCUGCCUAGAUAACAAUGCCACCCAUAAUGGGCUCUGUCCUCCUGUAUGAAUUAAGAAUGAAGAAGGGCCACCAGAGACAUGCCCACAGGGCAACAGGAAUAGGAUCUAGGUGAAUCUCUACUCAGAUGAUCCUAAGUUAUGGUGAGCUGAUACUUAGAAUUAAUGAUCAAAUAUGCCUCUUGUAAGUAUCUACUGACUGAGAAGCAAGUGUAUCUCCUCCCUGUUCUAGAAAGCCCUCUGCCUUAGAGAGUCUGCUUCUGACGACACCCAGGACCAGCGUGAAGCCUUUUCUCUCUCUUCUCAGACACCCUCACAAGGACUGUCCUUUGAGAGAGAUCAUAAAGACUGUAGUCAACAACGGGGAUGGAGUCUAUAUUCUGAGAGGAACAAAGAAAGAAGAGAAAAAAAACCACUCAUCCAUGGCUAUUUGUCUUGCAAGAUGCUCUGAGGCAUGUCACAGGUACCCAACUGGAAGAGACUCCAUCUCUAAUGUCUGUUUCAUGGCAAGAACUGGAGACUCAAGAAAACCCACGUGAUGCGGGGCAGAAAGGGCUUCCAAGAACCCUGUGAUUAUUAGCGGCUGUCUGUGUGGCAAUGAGGUGGAAACACUCCAUUCAGAGGCCCCAGAGAGCGUCUAAGUCCAAGUCCAGGACAUGAUUUGGAGUUAGUCCACGCAUCAGUUUAAAAAUAGAAGAUGGAGAGGGCCAGUUUCAGCCAAGACUGCCUCAGCUACCCUUUCAUUGAGGAAGACGGUGUGGCGAGACACACACGGGCUGGGUGAGGUGCCGCGGAAGCAUUCAUGCUAGCAGACUAGCAAAGAUCUCACAUCCUCGGGCUGGUUCUGGAGAUGCAGAGAGAUCAGGCUGGAAGUCUGGGGCAGCCAUUGGCACCUCUCCUCCUGUUGCAUACUUUGUUCCCUGCAGGGCUCUGCCAGGGCCUGAUCUCAGCCAUUGGCGUUGCUAGGUAAAGGCUGUUUUCCACAGUCACCGACUCGUAAACUAAGAAAACACAUCGUUGGAUGUUCAGA